rnacentral:rRNA from 1 species
AAUACCUAGGUAACCUACCUCUAAGAUGGGGAUAACCUUCCGAAAGGAGGGCUAAUACCGAAUGAGACCACAAGUACUAAUGUACUAAGGGUUAAAGAUGGCCUCUACUUGUAAGCUAUCACUUAGAGAUGGGCUUAUGCACCAUCAGCUUGUUGGUAGGGUAAUGGCCUACCAAGGCUUUGAUGGUUAGCUGAUCUGAGAGGUUGAUCAGCCACACUGGAACUGAGACACGGUCCAGACUCCUACGGGAGGCAGCAGUAGGGAAUAUUGCGCAAUGGAGGAAACUCUGACGCAGCGACGCCGCGUGGGUGAUGAAGGCUUUCGGGUCGUAAAGCCCUGUCGGAAGGGAAGAAAAAUAGGGUGGCUAACAUCCACUCUACUUGACGGUACCUUCAGAGGAAGCACCGGCUAACUACGUGCCAGCAGCCGCGGUAAUACGUAGGGUGCGAGCGUUAAUCGGAAUUACUGGGCGUAAAGCGUGCGCAGGCGGCUAUGUAAGACAGUUGUGAAAUCCCCGGGCUCAACCUGGGAAUUGCAUCUGUGACUGCAUAGCUAGAGUACGGUAGAGGGGGGAUGGAAUUCCGCGUGUAGCAGUGAAAUGCGUAGAUAUGCGGAGG